GGCAUGGGUGUGUGCGUGUGGCGUCCGCCUGUGGGUGCGGGGGCAGAGACAGAGGCCGAGAGACACAGCCAGGCAAAGGACAACGCAGUGUGUGUGUUGGGGGGGCGGGGAGGGGGUGGUGGGGGUGGGUGGUGUGUGGCCGGUGUGAAGGGCCCUGCGUGUGUGUGGGCGGGCUGUGUGUGUGGUGUGGGCGGCAUGGGUGUGUGCGUGUGGCGUGCGCCUGUGGAUGCGGGUCUGGGGGGGCGGGGUCAGAGACAGAGGCCAAGAGACACAGCCAGGCAAAGGACAACAAAGUGUGUGUGGGGGUGGGGGGGCCGGGGGGGGGAGUGUGUGUGUGUGCGCGCGCGCGCGUGUGUGUGGGCAUGCAUGUGGUGUGUGGGCAGAGGCAGAGCGUCACAUCCAGGCAAAGGACAACGCUGUGUGUGUGUGUGUGUGCGUAUGUGUGUGGUGUGGGCCGGGUGUCUGUGUGUUGGGGGGGGAGGGCGAGGCAGUGUGUGGCGUUGUGGCAUGCUCAGGUGGUAGUGCGUGGGUGGUGUGUGUGGCCGUGUGAGUGUGUUGGGGUGGGGGGGGGGUGGUUCGUGUGUGGUGUGGGUUUGUUGUGUAUAGGUGCCACGAGGGCGCGUGUGGGCCGCAUGGGUGUGUGCGUGUGGGGUGCGCCUGUGGGUGCGGGUCGGCAGAGACAGAGGCCGAGAGAGACAGCCAGGCAAAGGACAACGCUCUGUGUGUGUGGGUGUGGUGUGAAGGGCCCUGCGUGUGGGCGGGGUGUGUGUGUGGUGUGGGCGGCAUGGGUGUGUGUAUGUGUGUGUGGCGUGCGCCUGUGGGUGCAGGGGCAGAGACAGAGGCCGAGAGACACAGCCAGGCAAAGGACAACAAAGUGUGUGUGUGUGUGGUGCGGGGGUGGCGGGGCGGGGUGUGAGAGUGUGUGUGUGUGUGCCCGCGCGUGCGUGUGGGCAUGCAUGUGGUGUGUGGGCAGAGACAGAGGCAGAGCGUCACAGCCAG
ensembl:lncRNA